GAUGGUUAUUUAUUUAUUUAACUUGCGCGCGCGGUGGUACACAAGACACGGCGGCGGAAUCAAAAGAGACUUCCGCGAAACGUUCGAUUCGAAAUUAUAGGUAUAUAUUUUUGAGGAAUUCAAAAGUGUGGGGUGGAAAAUCAAACCUAAGCAGCGCGGCCCCGCACCGCCGCCCCCACCACCGUCGCCACCCUAUUACGCAGCAUUAAAAGUUUCAUGCAGAGCGAAUAUCGUCGGCUGUGUUGCCAUAGGGAUAAUCGCAUUAAAAUCUAAAAUGGUCUCCCGUUACACCUUGUUCGUUAUUAAAAUCCUCGGUAUAUACACAUUCAAAAAUUAUUCCGCGGUUUGCAAACGGUCGCCCCCGCCGCUCCUCAGCCCCGUCGCGUAAAUGAAUAUGCGGCCAUUUUUACCUCCGUAUUCGUGCGCGAGUAUUGAGAAAGGCUAUUCGUGCGGCGGUUUUACUGAAAAUUUGCCAAUAACGAUUCGUACAAUUACAUAUUGUAAUUUUGAUUGCGAUACGGCGCACACGCAAAAGUGGGCUAAUCAGGAAAAAAACGACGACGACGACGCGACGAUGUCGUCGUUCUUAACGUAAAAAAUGUUGUAACGCCCAUCGACCAGGAAAUCGAAGUGAACUAGUAAACGAAAGCGUCUAGUAUUGGGUUAGAAUUGUGUCUAUGCGCUACCUACACGUGUACUUAUUGCAAAUAAUGGCCGACUCGAUGCACUGGGGCGUAACUAGCGCGACUAGAUAAUAGCUCGUCGAGACAUCGAGUCUGUUUCAGGUAUUCUGUAAAAUGAUUGCUCGCCGGCAACAUAAUUACUUACUGGGUUCAUGGUGGCCUGUUAUCAACCGUAUCGUGACCAUUAAAAAAAAAACAGAAUUAUCAACAACUGAAAAAUGUUCAAUUAAGAUAAGGAAAAAUAUUAAAUUGUAAUAGUGCACCUUAAAAAACUCAUUUGUUUCUAAAUAUCUAAAUCGAUCGUAUAAUACACAAUAAAAAACAAAAUCAUGUGAAUAUAUCGUACUUGUUUGACAUUUCAAAAAAGGUCACAUCUCUAACUCAGUCAAAAAGUAUUGGGUUAGUAGCCCCAAUGACAAUUGAAAUUCAACUUAUGUGCGCUGUAUUCUCAGAAUUUAUAAUGUCUACUUCCGGUAAACUAAAAUGUACACAUAAAUACGGAAGAGAAAAGUUUUAUUUACAAAACAUGGCCUUUAGAGCGGUUGUUCGUCAGGACACGAUGCCUAAUAGUGUACGCCAGAAAUGGACGGCGAUUAAAAAGGGUGAAUAAUGAAAAAAGCUCUCGGGAAGAAAAUAUGGCGGAAGCUACGUUCUGCGACAGCGGUCCAAAAAUGUUAAACAAAGAAUAUAGUAAUAAACUAAACCGUGGAAGAAUACGGUAAUGUAUUUGUACAUUCUAACAGGUCGCUGGAACAAGAUGGCAGAAAGGACAGUGGAAAUACAGAAGAGCAAAAGCAUCAUUUUGCCCCUCACUAAUGAAUUAAACAAAAAAAUUAUUGUUAAAUAUUUGUGUUAUGUGUCUUCAAUAUUUUAAUUUAAAAAAAUCGUUUAAUAUCCAUUUCAAAUUUUGUAAUUAAAUUAUUCUUGUAAUUUGUGCGAUAGUAUUUUGUUUAUUGUUAUUCUAUUUUCAAUUGUGACAUUUUAUUAACCAUAAAAAAAUAUGUUGUCAAAUUCUUUUUUUAUUUAAUACUUCAU